rnacentral:lncRNA from 1 species
GGUUUUCUAUUUUUCUUUUUGUUUUGGGCUAGGGUUUGCAAUGGGUUAUUGGGUUUGAAUUUGGUAUUGGGCUAAUGGGUUUGUUGGCCUGUUUAUUGGUUUUGGGCCACUGUAAUUCUGGAUUGGACAUUUAAUUUUUUUUUGGUUUUUUUCUUUGGUGUUUAUUGAUUUAAUUGGGCCCGAGAAAAUUGGGCCACUUACAGUAGGGGAACCUCAGAAUUAUUUGUCUAAUAUAAUCUUGCUUUAGUAGCAGAAAAGAUGGUGUGAAAAGGGUGCGAAGCAUUUUUGGCUUAUGUUCAAGAUGUAAGCUUUAUUGACCCUGUAGUUGAAGGUAUUUGUACAGUGAGG